UCCGUGUAUAGUAGAAAAUAAGAAAAUCAAAGUCCAAAAUAAGAUGGAAAAGAAUACUUGCUGAAAUGGCCAAUGUUUGGAUAAAAAUGAAUACUUUUGCAAGCAAUCUCUAAACUCAACCAAAAAAUCAUUGCAAUAUCCAACAUAUGCCUUAUUAGAGUACCUUUUGAAACCUCAUUUGAGAUUUAGUUCAGUAAGUCAUCCUCCAAGUGAAGGACAAGUUUUCUAACAAGAUUUUAUUCUACUAAAAAACUAGUAAUUUACAUAAAUGAAAAGUAAACAUCCUUAUAUACGGAGAUAUUUUUAUAUACCAAACAUCAAAAGACACGUUAGCAUCCUUAUAAGGACACUGCAAAUUGGGAGGCUUCCAAGUCAAGCUCUUGUCUCAUAACACAGUUCAAAAACAACUCACNNN
rnacentral:lncRNA from 1 species